ACUUCCCAGAAGACCAAAUUAAGAAGUUGUUUUUGAAUAUGUUGUUGUGUGUGAACUACUUCUUAUCAGCUACUUCACAGAGCUCUGGCAUAGCCCUAGCAUCCUUUAAAUUUAAAGAAUUCUACUAAGGAAGUCAAGCUGAAAAACUAGGAAAGGAAAACCAAGACUUUAGUCAUUGAAACUUGAGGAACCGUUUAAAGACCAAGUUUAGUGCUUGUUUACAGAAUCUCCUAAGGAACAUUUACAUAAAAACAAUUUUAAAAAAUGAAUCUUGAUUAUAAUCUGCAGAUUUGAUUGGGCAACAUUUGCUUUCAACAGGACUGCAUAGCAUUUUAGAACAAUUUUUAGUUAUCUGGAAUAGGAAUACUCAAAAUUAGUCCUGCAGAUACAGAGGUAAUGUAAAGGAAGAAAUAAUUAAACAAAACAACAGUAGGCUUUGCUGUGGUGAACCAAACAUUUUUAGUUAGGCAGUGAUUUGCUGCCUCUAAACGUUGUUAGCAAUAUUGGGACCUACUGUACGCAGUUAAUCCAAUGCUUAAUAUCAGUGACCUUUUAAUUCAGAAUUACUGUCACUGCUGUGUCCAUGACCAAAGCAGCAAUUAAGAAUCAGCAGGGUUCAUGCACAAUUAGGUUAAAAUAUUUUUGAGGUGUAAUGUAUAAAAUAGUCCUCAAAUGAGGGAUGCCUUCAUCAUGAGAGAGCAGCCCACCUGAGGGAUGAGAAGCAGGGAUGAGAAGGGGAAGCCCAUUCUUGCCCUCCAUAGGGAUAAAUGCAUUUCCCUCCACAGUUUAUAACACCCUGAUGACUACAGAGAUGUGUAUUUCCCUUACAUAGAGGUGAAAACAUUUCUUCCUUUUCUCUGUAAGAUUUCCAAGAAUGGACAGCUUUCCAUGGCUAACUUUCAAUGCCCUGGAGUGGUGGAUGUUUAUCUGGUGUCCCUCGGUGGAAUUCAUAGUAUAUUUCCUCAUCCUACAAAUUAUAAGUAUAAUGAAAUUGUACUUUUAUAGUAAAGUUCAGCUAUACAGACCUCUUGGUUUUUGUUACUUGAGCUAAACGAACUUUGCUUAGAACUGAAGACAUACCCCUUAAACACUUGUAGUCGGUGCUAAUUUCUUUUACAUGUUCACUAUUUAUGAUUCAAGCUUUCUAAAAUGCACACUAAUAGGUCUUUAAAAUGAACAUUUCAUUGGUUAUUGGGAUGGUUAUUAUCACUUUUAUAAGGAGGCAUAAUAUAGCACAGGAUGUCUAGUGUGGAAGGGGCCGGGCGGACUACACUAUUGUAAAAGGCAAGAGGCAGUUAUGCUUUAGAUUGUCUAAGAUUUUCCAUAUCCUCCCCACCUUCAGAUUGUCAGUGGUCACUUCUUAAUUCUGUCUGUGUGCCUUCUGAUCUGAUCAUUUCUCAAAUAGCUAGAUGUCACCGUUGUAUUUAAAGCAAGACUACAUAGAUUGUGGCUUCAUCUGACUCUUCCUAUAACCAAGAAGACCGUGUUGUAAUAUUUAUUUUUGCACAGGCACUUUCUCAUUCCCUAAAAUUUGACAUUUUGGAGAAGAGAAUUGUCAAAUUAUUCACUCUGGAGGGAAGAGGUGCUGCUUUUCUAUACUUCAAGAGACUUUUGAGUUAAAUACACUUACAGUAGCUGGCUUGGGUUUUAUUUCUCUGCUGUUGCCUAGCAACUGAGAUGUGGCAAGAGAUGUCAGAGGUUAAGGAGCAGACCAAAGUCAUUAUGGAAAGCAAGUCUUAUCAGCAUUUUCCAUCUAACUUUGUAAUCUUUGAAAUAAAAUAGGUUUCAUUGUAUUGAA